rnacentral:rRNA from 1 species
UGUAACAAGGUUUCCGUAGGUGAACCUGCGGAAGGAUCAUUACCGAGUGAGGGCCCUCUGGGUCCAACCUCCCACCCGUGUCUAUCGUACCUUGUUGCUUCGGCGGGCCCGCCGUUUCGACGGCCGCCGGGGAGGCCCUGCGCCCCCGGGCCCGCGCCCGCCGAAGACCCCAACAUGAACGCUGUUCUGAAAGUAUGCAGUCUGAGUUGAUUAUCGUAAUCAGUUAAAACUUUCAACAACGGAUCUCUUGGUUCCGGCAUCGAUGAAGAACGCAGCGAAAUGCGAUAAGUAAUGUGAAUUGCAGAAUUCAGUGAAUCAUCGAGUCUUUGAACGCACAUUGCGCCCCCUGGUAUUCCGGGGGGCAUGCCUGUCCGAGCGUCAUUGCUGCCCUCAAGCACGGCUUGUGUGUUGGGCCCCCGUCCCCCUCUCCCGGGGGACGGGCCCGAAAGGCAGCGGCGGCACCGCGUCCGGUCCUCGAGCGUAUGGGGCUUUGUCACCUGCUCUGUAGGCCCGGCCGGCGCCAGCCGACACCCAACUUUAUUUUUCUAAGGUUGACCUCGGAUCAGGUAGAUCAAGUG